ensembl:lncRNA
AUGGCAGUAGGCAAGGACAGAGGAAGCAGAAGGAGCUGCUGCUGAAUUAAAGCCCCAAAUGGAUGAAUAACCACAACUCAGUGGAGGACCUGCAAAAGUGACAGCGCUAGGUAUGAUCUCUAAGAAAGCAUACUGAGGGAGAAGAGAAUUCAACCAAGAACUGGAACCUUUACACACAGAUGAUAGGAAGGGAGAGAGUGGCCUGUUAAGAAGAGUGGGAAGAGGACAUGCUUGGAGCCUGAUGAGAACCAACAUCCCACAAUGCUACAGAGAUACUUACUCACCCCUGCAACUGCCUAUAUUGGGAAAGAUGGAACCAGAAGAGGCAAGAUUAUGUGUCUACAUUCAGGAAGAAAGAAAGAAAGACAAUCUUCAUUUUAAAAUUCCCAUUUUAAGUAUAACCUCAAGUAUAAUUUGCUUUCUCUAACAGUAUAACAGACAGCAUGAAAUGUGCAAAGGACUUAAGUUCAAUGAGGCUUACGUAUGAGUUUUAAUGGAGAAGGUUAAUUUUUAACUGCUUCUAAGACUUCAUAAUAUGAUAGGAAAAAUUAUCAAGAGAUAAUUAGAAGAGAAUGACAUUAUAAUCCCCAAAGAAAAACAUAUUUUGUAAGCAAACCCGAAAUUCAGCACAAUCUUAAAUUAUAAUCCCAGCUGGAUGGGAUUAGCAUUUUUGCAACACAUUGAAACAAGAAUGUUCAGUGCACUGAGCCACGAGCUUGACUUUGUUGAUCAUUCUCUAUCAAAACCCAGAUUUUUAAAUAACAGUACACCACUGGACCCAGAUUCAAUGGUUUCCCAAAAACCGAUUUUUACUGUCCGAUGUUAACAAACUAGUGUCAGCCCAGUUGGAUGAUUUAGAUGUUCCUGAAUUGUUAGGAUGUUCAGGGUGGCCCAUCAUCAUUGCACAAAUUGCAGCAGUUCACAGCAAUGGUAAAUGUUUCCCGUCUCCCGACAUACUGGCACAUUUAAAUUAUGUUGCAUUGCGAUUCUGUCUCUUUAAACAAGAAGAAAAUUAAGCUUCAAGUUUAAUUAAACAUUAUUUUAAAAAUUGGGUUUUGGUUUAUAAAAUUCACCCUGUGAUUCUUCCAAGUUCCUUCCUUGAGAAAAUAGAUUGCACGUUUCGUUGGGAUUUGACCUUAAUUAAUCCUGUACGUUGUGAUCCACCCUCUUGCUGAAACAGUCUUAUGAAAAGGAAUGCAAGCUAUGGGCUAAGAUAACAAUCGGCCAUUAACUUCUGUGUGUGAUGCUGGCUGUGGUCCAUGAGCGUGGAAUUCAAAACCCAUUGUACACAGUAAUGUCCAGGGCUUAGUGCUCUAUGGUCGAGAGACAAAAUAAACUAUGCAGAACAGCAUCUUUACACAGUCUACAUGGAUUUACACUAGAGCAAAUGCUCUGAAACAUUCAUAAUGCAGCAUGUGCGUUGGCAUCUAAUCCUGCCGUGUCAGAUUACACAGAAGAUGGGUCAUUCCAGCAAUGCCAACUGAAUUAAACAAGCAAAAGUGAUCACUUUCCAGAUACCAUUAUUUUAGUAAGAAUGAUUUGCAGACUUAUCACUUAAAACUUUAAAAAUAUCUGAUUAUUUCCUUCUAAUGUUUUAGAUAGUAUCCUAGGGCAGUAGCUCUCCUUACUAACAUAACUUGACUGCCUUCUAAAUAAGAAAAGGGUUUGAAUUGAUAAAUAACUUUUGUCUGUUGAUCUAAAUCAUAUGUAGUCCAGAUAAAUAUAACACAUUUGCAGUACUAUUAAUAAAGCAAGUGACUAUAGCAGCUGAAAUCUUUUAUGUAACGUAGCUUUUUCUUUUGGCCGGGACACUCAUCACCUCCCCAAUAAGUUUU